UACGUAGGGUGCAAGCGUUGUCCGGAAUUAUUGGGCGUAAAGAGCUCGUAGGCGGUUUGUCGCGUCUGCUGUGAAAUCCCGAGGCUCAACCCCUGGAUGCGGUGGAUACUGCGGAGCUAGAGUCCGGAAGAGGCGAGUGGAAUUCCUGGUGUAGCGGUGAAAUGCGCAGAUAUCAGGAGGAACACCGAUGGCGAAGGCAGCUCGCUGGGACGGUACUGACGCUGAGGCGCGAAAGCGUGGGGAGCAACAGGAUUAGAAC
rnacentral:rRNA from 1 species